UACAGAGGGUGCGAGCGUUAAUCGGAAUUAUUGGGCGUAAAGAGCUCGUAGGUGGCUUGUCACGUCGGGUGUGAAAGCUUGGGGCUUAACUCCAGGUCUGCAUUCGAUACGGGCUGGCUAGAGGUAGGUAGGGGAGAACGGAAUUCCUGGUGUAGCGGUGAAAUGCGCAGAUAUCAGGAGGAACACCGGUGGCGAAGGCGGUUCUCUGGGCCUUACCUGACGCUGAGGAGCGAAAGCGUGGGGAGCGAACAGG
rnacentral:rRNA from 1 species